AUCGCUUCUCGGCCUUUUGGCUAAGAUCAAGUGUAGUGUGGAAGCUACAAGUUUAACAGAAUUCCAAAUGGUUGUAGAAAUGAAUUUCUUAUUCCCAACCAGAACGUUGCAGAUGUAAUACUCUAGCAUGGAUUGUUAAUUGUUACAGCAAUAGAAUUUUUUUUUUAUUCUACUGAAAUCAUAUUGGUGACCACUU